AGUCGAGGGGCAGCGGGAUUGAAGCUUGCUUCAAUUGCCGGCGACCGGCGCACGGGUGAGUAACGCGUAUCCAACCUUCCGUACACUCAGGGAUAGCCUUUCGAAAGAAAGAUUAAUACCUGAUGGUAUGAUGAGAUUGCAUGAUAGCAUCAUUAAAGAUUUAUCGGUGUACGAUGGGGAUGCGUUCCAUUAGGUAGUAGGCGGGGUAACGGCCCACCUAGCCGACGAUGGAUAGGGGUUCUGAGAGGAAGGUCCCCCACAUUGGAACUGAGACACGGUCCAAACUCCUACGGGAGGCAGCAGCGAGGAAUAUUGGUCAAUGGACGAGAGUCUGAACCAGCCAAGUAGCGUGAAGGAUGAAGGUCCUACGGAUUGUAAACUUCUUUUAUAAGGGAAUAAAACCUCCCACGUGUGGGAACUUGUAUGUACCUUAUGAAUAAGCAUCGGCUAACUCCGUGCCAGCAGCCGCGGUAAUACGGAGGAUGCGAGCGUUAUCCGGAUUUAUUGGGUUUAAAGGGAGCGCAGACGGGUCGUUAAGUCAGCUGUGAAAGUUUGGGGCUCAACCUUAAAAUUGCAGUUGAUACUGGCGUCCUUGAGUGCGGUUGAGGUGUGCGGAAUUCGUGGUGUAGCGGUGAAAUGCUUAGAUAUCACGAAGAACUCCGAUUGCGAAGGCAGCACACUAAGCCGUAACUGGCGUUCAUGCUCGAAAGUGUGGGUAUCAAACAGGAUUAGAUACCCUGGUAGUCCACACGGUAAACGAUGGAUACUCGCUGUUGGCGAUAUACAGUCAGCGGCUUAGCGAAAGCGUUAAGUAUC
rnacentral:rRNA from 1 species